GAGGCGAUGAAGGGCGUGCUAAUCUGCGAUAAGCGCCGGUAAGGUGAUAUGAACCGUUAUAACCGGCGAUACCCGAAUGGGGAAACCCAGUGUGAUUCGUCACACUAUCAUUAACUGAAUCCAUAGGUUAAUGAGGCGAACCGGGGGAACUGAAACAUCUAAGUACCCCGAGGAAAAGAAAUCAACCGAGAUUCCCCCAGUAGCGGCGAGCGAACGGGGAGGAGCCCAGAGCCUGAAUCAGCAUGUGUGUUAGUGGAAGCGUCUGGAAAGGCGCGCGAUACAGGGUGACAGCCCCGUACACAAAAGCGCAUGUGCUGUGAGCUCGAUGAGUAGGGCGGGACACGUGGUAUCCUGUCUGAAUAUGGGGGGACCAUCCUCCAAGGCUAAAUACUCCUGACUGACCGAUAGUGAACCAGUACCGUGAGGGAAAGGCGAAAAGAACCCCGGCGAGGGGAGUGAAAAAGAACCUGAAACCGU
rnacentral:rRNA from 1 species